rnacentral:rRNA from 1 species
UCUACGCGUGGCAGCAGUGGGGGAUAUUGCACAAUGGGCGAAAGCCUGAUGCAGCGACGCCGCGUGAGGGAAGACGGCCCUCGGAUUGUAAACCUCUGUCUUUGGGGAAGAAAAUGACGGUACCCAAAGAGGAAGCUCCGGCUAACUACGUGCCAGCAGCCGCGGUAAUACGUAGGGAGCAAGCGUUGUCCGGAGUUACUGGGUGUAAAGGGAGCGUAGGGGGGAUGGCAAGUAGAAUGUUAAAUCCAUCGGCUCAACCGUUGGCUGCGUUUUAAACUGCCGUUCUUGAGUGUAGUAGAGGCAGGCGGAAUGCUUAGUGUAGCGGUGAAAUGCGUAGAUAUUAGGAGGAACCCCAGUGGCGAAGGCAGCCUGCUGGGCUUAAACUGACGCUGAGGCUCGAAAGCGUGGGGAGCAAACAGGAUUAGAUACCCCUGUAGUC